AACGAACGCUGGCGGCAUGCCUAACACAUGCCAGUCGAACGAGACCUUCGGGUCUAGUGGCGCACGGGUGCGUAACGCGUGGGAACCUGCCCUUAGGUUCGGAAUAACUCCCCGAAAGGGGUGCUAAUACCGGAUAAUGUCUUCGGACCAAAGAUUUAUCGCCUUUGGAUGGGCCCGCGUUGGAUUAGCUAGUUGGUAGGGUAAAAGCCUACCAAGGCGACGAUUCAUAGCUGGUCUGAGAGGAUGAUCAGCCACACUGGGACUGAGACACGGCCCAGACUCCUACGGGAGGCAGCAGUGGGGAAUAUUGGACAAUGGGCGAAAGCCUGAUCCAGCAAAGCCGCGUGAGUGAUGAAGGCCUUAGGGUUGUAAAGCUCUUUUACCCGGGAUGAUAAUGACAGUACCGGGAGAAUAAGCUCCGGCUAACUCCGUG
rnacentral:rRNA from 1 species